GACGUAGGGUGCAAGCGUUGUCCGGAAUUAUUGGGCGUAAAGAGCUCGUAGGCGGUCUGUCGCGUCUGCUGUGAAAAACCUAGGCUUAACUCUGGGCGUGCAGUGGGUACGGGCAGGCUAGAGUGCGGUAGGGGGAGACUGGAAUUCCUGGUGUAGCGGUGAAAAUGCGCAGAUAUCAGGAGGAACACCGGUGGCGAAAGGCGGGGUCUCUGGGGCCGUAACUACGCUGAGGAGCGAAAAGCAUGGGGGGAGCGAAACAGG
rnacentral:rRNA from 1 species